UCGUUUAACAGCGGUGCACCCUGCGUGUUUGUGCACAUAUCAAAUCAUAACAUAUAUAAGACAUGUAGUCUUCUCAAACUGACAUUAUUCUGAGACAUUAUUCACAGAGAAGAACUGAUCCAUUGCGAUCAAAUCAAAGAUGKUAGGUUAAAGUACUAGUUUUUUAGAUAAUUGAAUCGGUAAAGUGUUUUGCACUUUUUUAAACUUCUGGAUUAGAGUUGGUUUCUUUUGCGCAGACAAAUGUCGGGAAACGGAAGGAAGGACAUCACAUCAAAGGAAUAUUUCUUUGGUAUUGGUAUUCGUUGCUUUUAUCUAUGAAAUACAAGCUGCCCAAACUGGAAAGUUAAACGCUCAGUGAAUCAAGUUAUAAUCUGCAACUCAUCGACAAUACCAAAUAAAUGCCGUCCUGACCAAUGGAAGUACAGUUGCCGGACAGAAGUGAAAUGUCGCAUUGAUCGUGCCCGAAAACAAUUUGAAUGUAGUUGUUCUAAUAGCCGUCUUUUAAGUGCAAUUGUUUGCUGUGAUAUAACAUGUUAAUAAAAUCCAUCGAUCAGG